rnacentral:rRNA from 1 species
UACGUAGGGUGCAAGCGUUGUCCGGAAUUAUUGGGCGUAAAGAGCUCGUAGGCGGUCUGUCGCGUCUGCUGUGAAAACUCAGGGCUUAACCCUGAGCUUGCAGUGGGUACGGGCAGACUAGAGUGCGGUAGGGGAGAGUGGAAUUCCUGGUGUAGCGGUGAAAUGCGCAGAUAUCAGGAAGAACACCCGUGGCGAAGGCGGCUCUCUGGUACGUGACUGACGCUGAGACGCGAAAGCGUGGGGAGCGAACAGG